rnacentral:lncRNA from 1 species
GUUCUCUAAUUUCCUUUAUUUUGUUUGUUUGUUAUUAUUGUCUCCUUUUGUCCUUUAUUCCCCCCCUCCCGCUCCCCCGCCCAUUCCGUCCGCAGGCGGCUCCUGCCCCCCCCAACCCGCCUCGGCAGGCAGCAGGAAUCAAACACCUCCAGGCCCUGAUGCCGUUUCCCUGCGUCGGCAGCAUGGCUCCCGCAGCCAGCCCUGCCAGAGGCUGGAGCGGGGCUUGGCUCUCGGGAAUCCUUACAAACCUUUGAUUCCCGGCUCCGUUUCAGGGCAGCAUCAGGGAUGGCGGCAGAGCUCAGUGCUGGAGGUGCCGAGCUCCGAGGCUCCUUCCAGAGCCCUGUGUUGGCUCCGUCCCCAGCUGCCCUUUGCUCCAGUGCUGGGGAGAUCCAGCCUGUGGUGUGCAGGAGGCAGCUCUCCCUGCACUGGGUUACGGAUGCACAGUGAUUUGGGUAAAAACCGUUUUUGGGAAAAAAACAGUGAUCCAAGGGUGAGGGACUGUGAGGAGCUGGCUCAGUCAGCCAGAGGCUGGUGCUGCUUCUGCCUGUGCCCCAGCUACUGCUCCAUGGGCCUGGCCCCACCGAGAGUAUCCCAGGCAUGAGGGAUGGACAGAUAGACAGCCCUGGUGUGGGAGGGCAGUGCUGGGGAAGGAGGUGGAGAGCUAAGAAUCCUCUGGGCCUCCUGCUUGAGAGAUGCCAGUUGCUUAUGCUGGGAUUGCAGAGGUGGAGGUGUAUGAGGGGAGCUGGGGGAAUUGGACCCUUUCCCCCUCCUCCAUCCCAAGACCCAGGUCUUUUUGUGGAGAGCUCACACCGUGGGGCAUCUUAAAUAGCCUUCAAUAUGAAAUCUGCUACAUAGGACCCUUAAAGGAACUAAAUCAAGGAUAAAGUUCACUGAUACAUUCAGGAUUGCUUGCAGCAACUGGCAUGGGAUGGGAGGGUGGUGUGGGACUGAGUCGGUGGGGAAGGAGUGUGGGUUUGGGGGCCAACAGAGCUGAGCCCCCUGGGUCAGAGCAGUGGGCAGAGUGGGAGGUCUGGCAGUGCUGGUGCCAGAGGGACCUGCUGUCUGAGCACACAGGGGCUGUGGAGAGUAUGGGGAGAAUGUGGGCAUGCCACCGUGCUUCUGGAUGGGAAAUGGGGAGCCGUGGUGAUGCUGGGCAGUGCCAGGACAGGAGCAAGUCUGACAUGGCUUGGCCAAAGGGCUUUGCCUGAGUGGCAGAGCGCACUCAGCAUCUGCAGUCUUGGAAGGAGAGGGGUUUGGAGCAGGGAGGGAUACUAGAGAAAACUAUCUUUCUCCAGCAAAGUAGCACCGAGGGAACCAUCCUCUCCAGCACCUGUGGGGUGGUGGUGCUCUCCCACUGCUCUGGGUGCUGCUGCCCUUGAUGCUCUCCUGCUGCUCAGCGAACACCCUGUGGUUGUGAGACAUUUCCUACCAAGGCGUCCGACUGUCAGUUUGCAGGUUGUGACACUUGUGGCAGCUCCUGCACCCCCUUCCCUGCCUGCACUGGGGUCAUCUCUCCUGCCAGGCCAAGAGAACAGUGGACAAAACCCCCUCUGCAUCCAGCUGCGGGUGGAAAUGGGUGGGCUGGGUGAUGGGGAGCACUG